GACGAACGCUGGCGGCGUGCCUAAUACAUGCAAGUUGAGCGCUGAAGGUUGGUACUUGUACCAACUGGAUGAGCAGCGAACGGGUGAGUAACGCGUGGGGAAUCUGCCUUUGAGCGGGGGACAACAUUUGGAAACGAAUGCUAAUACCGCAUAAAAACUUUAAACACAAGUUUUAAGUUUGAAAGAUGCAAUUGCAUCACUCAAAGAUGAUCCCGCGUUGUAUUAGCUAGUUGGUGAGGUAAAGGCUCACCAAGGCGAUGAUACAUAGCCGACCUGAGAGGGUGAUCGGCCACAUUGGGACUGAGACACGGCCCAAACUCCUACGGGAGGCAGCAGUAGGGAAUCUUCGGCAAUAGACGAAAGUCUGGCCGAGCAACGCCGCGUGAGUGAAGAAGGUUUUCGGAUCGUAAAACUCUGUUGGUAGAGAAGAACGUUGGUGAGAGUGGAAAGCUCAUCAAGUGACGGUAACUACCCAGAAAGGGACGGCUAACUACGUG
rnacentral:rRNA from 1 species